GCUAAGACUGGAUAGGAAACAGAAACAUCUUUUUGUUUUUAAAAGACCUUCUUCGGAGGGUAUGCUUAAAGAGGGGCUUGCGCCACAUUAGUUAGUUGGUGAGGUAAAGGCUUACCAAGAUUAUGAUGUGUAGCUGGACUGAGAGGUUGAACAGCCACAUUGGGACUGAGACACGGCCCAAACUCCUACGGGAGGCAGCAGUAGGGAAUUUUCGGCAAUGGAGGAAACUCUGACCGAGCGACGCCGCGUGAACGAUGAAGUAUUUCGGUAUGUAAAGUUCUUUUAUUGAAGAAGAAAAAAUAGUGGAAAAACUAUAUUGACGUUAUUCAAUGAAUAAGCCCCGGCUAACUAUGUGCCAGCAGCCGCGGUAAGACAUAGGGGGCGAGCGUUAUCCGGAAUUAUUGGGCGUAAAGGGUGCGUAGGCGGUUAGAUAAGUCUAUAAUUUAAUUUCAGUGCUUAACGCUGUCUUGUUAUAGAAACUGUCUUGACUAGAGUGAGAUAGAGGCAAGCGGAAUUCCAUGUGUAGCGGUAAAAUGUGUAAAUAUAUGGAGGAACACCAGAAGCGUAGGCGGCUUGCUGGGUCUUUACUGACGCUGAGGCACGAAAGCGUGGGGAGCAAACAGGAUUAGAUACCCUGGUAGUCCACGCUGUAAACGAUGAGUACUAAGUGUCGGGGAAACUCGGUACUGAAGUUAACACAUUAAGUACUCCGCCUGAGUAGUACGUACGCAAGUAUGAAACUUAAAGGAAUUGACGGGACUCCGCACAAGCGGUGGAUCAUGUUGUUUAAUUCGAAGAUACACGAAAAACCUUACCAGGUCUUGACAUACUCUGCAAAGCUAUAGAAAUAUAGUGGAGGUUAUCAGGGAUACAGGUGGUGCAUGGUUGUCGUCAGUUCGUGUCGUGAGAUGUUAGGUUAAGUCCUAAAACGAACGCAACCCCUGUCGUUAGUUGCCAGCACGUAAUGGUGGGGACUUUAGCGAGACUGCCAAUUAAACAUUGGAGGAAGGUGGGGAUAACGUCAAAUCAUCAUGCCCCUUAUGAUCUGGGCUACAAACGUGAUACAAUGGCUAUUACAAAGAGUAGCUGAAACGCGAGUUUUUAGCCAAUCUCAAAAAGGUAGUCUCAGUACGGAUUGAAGUCUGCAACUCGACUUCAUGAAGCUGGAAUCGCUAGUAAUCGCGAAUCUGCAUGUCGCGGUGAAUACGUUCUCGGGGUUUGU
rnacentral:rRNA from 1 species